CAGUUCGGAUUGCAGGCUGCAACCCGCCUGCAUGAAGCCGGAAUCGCUAGUAAUCGCAGAUCAGAAUGCUGCGGUGAAUACGUUCCCGGGUCUUGUACACACCGCCCGUCACACCAUGGGAGUCGAUAACGCCCGAAGUCAGUGACCCAACCGAGAGGAGGGAGCUGCCGAAGGCGGGAUGGAUAACUGGGGUGAAGUCGUAACAAGGUACC
rnacentral:rRNA from 1 species